GCAACCAAAUAAAUUCAGAAUUAAGGAGCAUAAAAUGGGGUUCAUAAUGCAUAUUUUUACAGACAUUCAUUUCCUUGAACUUGGAUGAAAAAAAUAAUGUAAUUUUUUUCUGCUCCAUUUUUUUGCCACUUUUCGCGGAGACACAACUAUCAAAAAAAUUACGUGAUAAACCACAUUUGUUAACUACGUAUCCAUUUAAAAACAUUUUGAAAAAUCAUGGUGCGUCAUAUUAAAAAAAAACAAUUACGAACAUAAGUUUACUACAUCAUAUUAUAUCAAUAGAGUAUUACCUACUACCUAGUGGCAAAUGAGUCUGUAGUAUAACAUCCUCUUUCGUUCAUUAUGAAAUAAUUAAUUGUCAUUGAUCAAUGACGUACAUAUGUCAUACAUUUACAACUACACAUUUUCUAGCUAUUUCUUAAUUGUAUUGUUCUGUUUGCUGUUCCGAGUUAUUUGUUAAUAUGGAAUGACAUUAUUAAAAUUGCAUAAGAAAUAGCUAGAAAAUGUGUCAAUUAAUUAUUUCAUAAUGAACGAAAGAGGAAGUUAUACCACAGACAUAUUUGCCACUAGGUAGUUGGUACUACUCUAUUGAUAUAAUAUGAUAUAGUAAACAUAUCUUCGUAAUUGUUUUUUUUUGACAUGACGCACCAUGAUUUUUCAAAAUGUUUUUAAAUGGACACGUAGUUAACAAUUGUGGCUUAUCAAGUAUUUUUUUUUGAUAGUUGUGUCUCCGCGAAAAGUGGCAAAAAAAUGGAGCAGAAAAAAAUAACAUUAUUUUUUUCACCAAGUUCAAGGAAAUGAAUGUCUGUAAAAAUAUGCAUUAUGAACCCCAUUUUAUGCUCCUUAAUUCUGAAUUUAUUUGGUUGCUCUCGCUUGCUUGGUUUAGCUGCAAUAACAGUUUAAAAAUUACCUUGAUUUUUUGACAUUUUCGUGGAUAAGUCUGAAACAAAAGAAGAUCGAAGGCUGAUAUUACGCAUACAGUGUUCUUAGGACCUGCCACUACUGCACCUCAAAUUACAACCAAAUCCCUUGCGGGGGCCAAUCUUCUUAGCUUAGCUUGCUAGACCCUUUUGA